rnacentral:rRNA from 1 species
CCCUUAGAUGUUCUGGGCCGCACGCGUGCUACACUGAGUGGAUCAGCGGGUCAGGUUGCGCGAAAGCGUUUCCUAAUCUUUAAAUCCGCUCGUGAUGGGGAUUGGCGGUUGCAAUUUUCUGUCAUGAACGAGGAAUACCUUGUAAGCGCGGGUCAUCAUCCCGCGCUGAAUACGUCCCUGCCCUUUGUACACACCGCCCGUCGCUCCUACCGAUUGAGUGGUCCGGUGAGGCUUUGGGAUCUGAGCGGAAAGAGCGUUUCGCUGUUUCUGCUCGGAAAACUCAGUCGAACCUUAUCAUUUAGAGGAAGGAGAAGUCGUAACA